UUAGUUUUGGGGACUAACGAUGGGAGCUGGCCCCCUUUUCUGA
rnacentral:tRNA from 1 species